rnacentral:rRNA from 1 species
AUUGAACGCUGGCGGCAGGCUUAACACAUGCAAGUCGAGCGGAGAUGAGGUGCUUGCACCUUAUCUUAGCGGCGGACGGGUGAGUAAUGCUUAGGAAUCUGCCUAUUAGUGGGGGACAACAUUCCGAAAGGAAUGCUAAUACCGCAUACGUCCUACGGGAGAAAGCAGGGGAUCUUCGGACCUUGCGCUAAUAGAUGAGCCUAAGUCGGAUUAGCUAGUUGGUGGGGUAAAGGCCUACCAAGGCGACGAUCUGUAGCGGGUCUGAGAGGAUGAUCCGCCACACUGGGACUGAGACACGGCCCAGACUCCUACGGGAGGCAGCAGUGGGGAAUAUUGGACAAUGGGGGGAACCCUGAUCCAGCCAUGCCGCGUGUGUGAAGAAGGCCUUAUGGUUGUAAAGCACUUUAAGCGAGGAGGAGGCUACUGAGACUAAUACUCUUGGAUAGUGGACGUUACUCGCAGAAUAAGCACCGGCUAACUCUGUGCCAGCAGCCGCCGCCGUA